rfam:Xenorhabdus innexi strain HGB1681 (deposited as PTA-6826 in the American Type Culture Collection) genome assembly, scaffold: XIS1_scaffold1
CUCAGUCGAUAAAAAAGUUGACUUUUAAUCGAUUGGUGUAGGUUUGAGCCGAACAAAGCAAGACAACAACGCAUAAGCGUUGGCCCGAAGGGUGAGGCCGGAGGCCGAAUCAUCCUGCACGAUUCACCA